ensembl:lncRNA
UUGCAGCUACAGUUGUGCCUGUCCUGCCCUAGUGCCACAGCUUCUCUGUGGGCCUCCCAGAGGCCCUGGUUGGCUCUGCCAAGUGUAUGCUCAGGCUGUSAGGUACUGUAUUCAGCAUAGAUGGGGUGACUGCUCCAUGGACACCUGCUAAGGGAGCUCAGUAUAAAGUGACAGGUUGAAUUAAUUCCUAGUCUCCUUGGCAGGAUCCACAGACAAUCCUCCCCCACCCAUCUCCUUCCCGUAAUCGCUGCACAUGUCAUUCAAUUAAUUCUGUAUUUCCCAGAGCAGGAGGCUGUGCAGAGUUGAAGCAAGCAGCCUAUUCUGGGACUGUUUUUUUUAAAAAAGCGGGUGUUGCGCACUUAGCCUCAGUCACAGCUCCAGGCCCAGCCUCUUCCUCAGGUGGACAGGCCACAGAUGCAAAAAUGGACCAUGAUUACGGCUCUUCAGGACUGUUUCUGGAGACACAGCAGGCAACCAAAUCUCAUCGGCUGGGAUCCAGGCAGGCUCCCUGGCUUGACUGCCGGUAACAUGUUCCUUCUACCAGCCACUGAAAGAACAUUCCGUAUCCCCCCGAUUUUAUCUGCAGUUUGAAUCAUUCUUAUGAACAUAUCUGCACAAGUCUGAUGACCUCGAAAGCCUCUUUCUAUGCCCCAUUUCUGCCCCAGGAAUUUUGUCCAAAGCACAAAUGAGAGCAACUGACUAGCCCUCCAGGAGUUGGGGAGAGCAUGAGGCUCCAGAAGAACACUUGUAACAAAGACUGAGAAAGAAGAUCAUGGAGAAGGAAAGGGCACAGGAUGUGAGCCCCUCCCUGGCUGUUCCAGUGGACUCCAUGGAAGUCUGCAGCCAGUAACACCAGGAAGAAGAGGCCCAGCUCCAUGGAUCCUGGGGAGCUGGGGCCAUGGAGGAGCGGUGUGAAUGGGAGCACUGAGGGUGGGGUGGUAGGAGGACAGCAUCCCCAGGGAAUUGCUCUGGACAAAAUUCUGACACCCAGACAUGGACUUGAAUGACAGAUGUGAUGGACAGAGAUGGACAGACGUCAAUAGUGAGCAGUUAAAUCAUUCACUAACUCUUCAUUCGGUCCUUCCUUCAUUUGUUCACCACUGAGCUCCUGAGCACUGAGCUGGCUCUGGCACUAAUAAUGGAAGCAUCUGCAGGUGAGCAAACAAGCAACAGGGGAUCACUGUGAGGAGCAUCUAAGGUAGAGGUAUUCUGCCUGGGAUAGUGCAGGAAAGAUUCUCAGAGAAGAUGACAGCUGAGUGGGCCUUGAGGGAUGAGUAAGAGUUUGAUAGGCAGAUGAUGCAAUAAUGGAAUGGGGGGGUGGCGCAACAGGAGAAGAGUAAUCUAGACACAGGCAACUCCAGUUGCAUAUCAGUCUGAUUUCCCCUCUGUGCUGUGUUUUUGUUUUGGUUAAUCAGAGCCAGAAUUCCUUGUAAAGUUUUAGCCUCUAGAUUGACCUACACAAGGGAGCUCCUGCUUUCUUCUCCCAUGAAUUAAAAAAAAAAAAAAAAAAAAGGACACAGUGGUACAUGCCUGUAAUCCCCACUACUUUGGAGGCUGAGCGGGAGGACCUCAGGUUCCAGGCCAGCCUGGGAAACUUCAUGAGACCCUGUCUCAAAAUAAAAUAAUAGCCAGGUAUGUUGGAGCA